rnacentral:ncRNA from 1 species
CGGCGCGGUUCCGAGCGGUCGCUCCCUCGCGAGGUGCCGCGGGUCAGCGGCUGACGCCAGCCACCUUCCCGACCCGUCUUGAAACACGGACCAAGGAGUCUAACAUGUGCGCGAGCCGCGGGGCAGUACGAAACCCGUAAGGCGAAAUGAAGGUGAACGCCGGCGCGGUCCGGCGGAGGUUGGAUCCCGUCCCGUCGGGGCGGGCGCACUACCGGCCGAUCUUCUCCGCCCUGUCGGCGAGGUCGAGCGAGAGCGUGCAAGUCGGGACCCGAAAGAUGGUGAACUAUGCCUGAGGAGGUUGAAGCCAGAGGAAACUCUGGUGGAGGACCGUAGCGAUUCUGACGUGCAAAUCGAUCGUCAAAUUUGGGUAUAGGGGCGAAAGACUAAUCGAACCGUCUAGUAGCUGGUUCCCUUCGAAGUUUCCCUCAGGAUAGCUGGCGCUCUGUCGCAGUUUUAUCUGGUAAAGCGAAUGAUUAGAGGUCUUGGGGGCGAAACGCCCUCAACCUAUUCUCAAACUUUAAAUUGGUAAGAAGCCCGACUCGCUCGUUUGGAGCCGGGCAUGGAAUGCGAGUGCCAAGUGGGCCUCUCUUGGUAAGCAGGACUGGCGAUGCGGGAUGAACCGAACGCCGGGUUAAGGCGCCCGACGCGACGCUCAUCAGAGCCCACAAAAGGUGUUGGUU